rnacentral:rRNA from 1 species
GACGAACGCUGGCGGCGUGCUUAACACAUGCAAGUCGAACGGAAAGGCCCUGCUUUUGUGGGGUGCUCGAGUGGCGAACGGGUGAGUAACACGUGAGUAACCUGCCCUUGACUUUGGGAUAACUUCAGGAAACUGGGGCUAAUACCGGAUAGGAGCUCCUGCUGCAUGGUGGGGGUUGGAAAGUUUCGGCGGUUGGGGAUGGACUCGCGGCUUAUCAGCUUGUUGGUGGGGUCGUGGCUUACCAAGGCUUUGACGGGUAGCCGGCCUGAGAGGGUGACCGGCCACAUUGGGACUGAGAUACGGCCCAGACUCCUACGGGAGGCAGCAGUGGGGAAUAUUGCACAAUGGGCGGAAGCCUGAUGCAGCAACGCCGCGUGCGGGAUGACGGCCUUCGGGUUGUAAACCGCUUUCGCCUGUGACGAAGCGUGAGUGACGGUAAUGGGUAAAGAAGCACCGGCUAACUACGUG